UCUCGAUUCGUCUAGUGGUUAGGAUACCUGCUUGUCAUUGAUGACUAUUCGCAGGUGGCCGGGGUUCAAUUCCCCGAUCGAGAG